rnacentral:rRNA from 1 species
UACGUAGGCAGCAAGCGUUGUUCGGAAUUACUGGGCGUAAAGAGUGUGUAGGCGGUGCUCUAAGUUCGGUGUGAAAUCUCCUGGCUUAACUGGGAGGGUGCGCCGGAAACUGGAGUGCUCGAGCGUGGGAGAGGAAAGCGGAAUUCCUGGUGUAGCAGUGAAAUGCGUAGAUAUCAGGAGGAAUACCGAUGGCGAAGGCAGGUCUCUGGGCUGACACUGACGCUCAUGCACGAAAGCGUGGGGAGCAAACAGG